rnacentral:tRNA from 1 species
UUAAUUGAAACCAAAUAGAGGUGAUUUAUUGUUAAUAAUUUUAUAUAUAUAUAUAUAUAUAUAUUU